GAUGAACGCUGGCGGCGUGCCUAAUACAUGCAAGUCGAGCGAACGGACGAGAAUCUUGCUUCUCUGAUGUUAGCGGCGGACGUGUGAGUAACACGUGUAUAACCUCCCUAUCAGACUGGGAUAACUUCGGGAAACCGGAGCUAAUACCGUAUAAUAUUUUGCACCGCAUGGUUCAAAAGUGAAAGACGGUCUUGCUGUCACUUAUAGAUGGAUCCGCGCUGCAUUAGCUAGUUGUUAAGGUAACGGCUUACCAAGGCAACGAUGCAUAGCCGACCUGAGAGGGUGAUAGGCCACACGGGAGCUGAGACACGGUCCAGACGCCUAAGGGAGGAAGCAGUAGGGAAUCUUACGCAAUGGGCGAAAGCCUGACGGAGCAACGCAGCGUGAGUGAUGAAGGUCUUCGGAGCGUAAAACUCUGUUAUUAGGGAAGAACAUAUGUGUAAGUAACUGUGCACAUCUUGACGGUACCUAAUCAGAAAGCCACGGCUAACUACGUG
rnacentral:rRNA from 1 species